CUCUGUAAAACUAGGACUGAAUGUUGAGCGCAAAGAGAUAACUGAGAAGUCUGUGGUGUGAGGACAGCAAGAAUUUCAUUUAAUAGUGAAGAAAAACAAAACCUGCCCCACUGAAGGAAGAUUUAAAUCAAUUUUAUAUCAAGUCUAUGGGAUAAAAGAAGCAGAUGAAAAUAUUACCGGAAGGUCAGCUAAUUUGCACUUUUGAAGAAAACCUGACAAAAUCAGUCAGUAGCUGGAUAAAUUUGUCAAGAAUCUUUCAGAAGAUAAGAUUCUACAUACUAGGACCAGUGUUCAAAUGGACCUAACAAGUGAGACUAUUUAAAAACAUCUACGUAUGACCAGGAGAGAUCCAAGCUUGGCAUGGAUUAUUUUCACAGGAAUGAUAUGGAGACCACUCUGGUGUUGGUGACAACACCACAAAUUAAGGACAUACUUCUUUCUCAUUCACGUUGUGAGACUUCUGUGGAUGGAAAACAGUGCUAAAAAAGGAAAGCUGCUCAAGGAAGUGCUUUUGGAUGUAUGUAUAAAGUGCACAGGCUGAAAGGCAGAACAUCCAAACAACAGAAAAAACAGAGUUUAUUAAGUCUACAUAAGAAAAACAGCACAAAAAGGGAAUCCAUGCUGUUGUAUAAGAAAGAACUGCAUUUGCCCCACACCUGUUGAGACAGGACCUCAAAAAUUCUUUGCUGCUUAACUGACAGUGGUGUCCCUGCAGGUCAGGUACCCAACUCUGUGGGAACUUGCAGCUCCUAUGGAAUCUGCCUCUCCCUCAAAGCCCACUGAACUUCAGAGUGACUUUGCACCCUGCAGAAGGCAGUUUGGGCCUCUUAGAACCAAAAUGCUCUUGCCUUUUGAAGGGUGAGCAUUGCCCCAUGAUGUUCUCCUGACAACUGCACAGUGCAGCACCUUGUUCUACACAGAUGGCAAAAAAAAUCUCACUGUGUUCAUAGUUAAUGUGCAACUGAGGAUAAAAAUAAGAUAACACCACCUUCCUAAGACUGCAAGAAAUGUCACAAAGAUUAACAACUAUGAGAAAUAAAGUGUGGGACUUCUUUAGUGUGCAAAUACUGUAAGAAAAAGAAGGUAUUUGCUAAUUUCAAAGUUUUGUCCUGGUUCAUUUUAUAAUUAAUAAUUAAAUUGAUGCCAAACAUCAGACAUGUUCUAGGUUCCUCAUUCAGGCAUCUCAGCUACAGUGCUUGGAUUAAAUAAUGGAUAAUUCAACAUAAGAGAAAUGACAAAAUUGAAUAUCUUUACUAAUUCUGUUAACAUUCUAGAGAACAAAUGACAUCCAACAUUGCUUUCUGCCUCAUCAUGAAUCAACCAUUCCUGUUUUGGAAGAUUUUUGAACUUUUCUGCAUCUGGAAAUCUUGUUUAACAAUAAUGUUUCAAAAUAAAUUAGAUCUGCUCCCUUCUGAUGAUGUAAUGAACUGUUAUUAACUAAGUGUGGUAGUCUAAGGACAUCAGGAACUGGCUUGGAUAAAAUGUUGUCUACAUUAGAGUAAUGCAAUAAACAAAGAAAAUUAUGUAUUAAAAGAAAAAUGCCAUCCAAUAUCACAGCAUAUGAUAUAGCUUGGAUGGAAACAUGCUAGAAUUAAACCUGUAUCUAUGUAACUUCAUGUAUAUGGUGGUUUUAGCUCCUGCUCCCAGCAAAAGGAAUUUCCUGAGCAGCCUGAAGUAAAUAUUUGGCAGUUCCAAUUCUGAGUUUUAGAGAUCUGUUAAUCUGCCAAAUCUGAAGAUACGGACAAAACGACCAUUGAGACGACUACUCUUGUCACACCCGCGAGGACUUCUGCACAUAUAUUGCAAAAAAUAAAACUGUGCGGCAA